AUGAACGCUGGCGGCGUGCCUAAUACAUGCAAGUCGAGCGAACAGACGAGGAGCUUGCUCCUCUGACGUUAGCGGCGGACGGGUGAGUAACACGUGGAUAACCUACCUAUAAGACUGGGAUAACUUCGGGAAACCGGAGCUAAUACCGGAUAAUAUAUUGAAUCGCAUGGUUCAAUAGUGAAAGACGGUUUUGCUGUCACUUAUAGAUGGAUCCGCGCCGCAUUAGCUAGUUGGUAAGGUAACGGCUUACCAAGGCGUCGAUGCUUAGCCGACCUGAGAGGGUGAUCGGCCACACUGGAACUGAGACACGGUCCAGACUCCUACGGGAGGCAGCAGUAGGGAAUCUUCCGCAAUGGGCGAAAGCCUGACGGAGCAACGCCGCGUGAGUGAUGAAGGUCUUCGGAUCGUAAAACUCUGUUAUUAGGGAAGAACAAAUGUGUAAGUAACUAUGCACGUCUUGACGGUACCUAAUCAGAAAGCCACGGCUAACUACGUG
rnacentral:rRNA from 1 species